CUAAUCCUACAUUCACAAUUCAUAUUUCAUUUUUUUCUUCCCCAAGCGCCGCUCCUCACCUCUCCACUCACGUAGAUUUUCUGUUCUCUCCAGUCCGGCGACUCCGGCCGUCCACCUCCGCUGAGUCGCUGCUUGAGCCGCUCCCCCUCGGCCCCUCCCCCACCCGAAAUCCCACUGGUGGCUGGCGCAUAGUCGCCACUCGCUGCAGCGAGGCAGCCCACUGUCGCUCAUCUCCAGUCCACCUCAACUCCAACCGGCGGCUGCUACUCUUCCUCUUCUCAGGUAAACAUUAGAACAUCGAAUUGAUUUUAUUAGUUUGUUCUUUUAACGAUGGCAGAUUGUUUCAGAUGUCUCAACUGUUUUUGAAGCAUUUCAUAUCUAGUAAUAUGUUUUUAUCGAAAAACUUUGAAUAUUUCCCAAUAUAUGGUUUUAUAAUCAUGUAGUCUGUAAUGAGGUUGGUUCGUUGCUAACUUGAUAUGCCUCAUUAUCUUAUUGGUGUCUCAUUUCAUUUAUUUAACUAAAAUUAAUAUCUUUGGAACUAGAGAUUGUUUUGGAAAUUGAACUUUUGGCUAUAGUUAUGAUCAGAUUCAAUCUAAAUAUACUGCUUGAAGCUUUUGGUUCCCUUGUUUCCCUCGUCUGUAUACUACAUUUCUCAUUAUAUUUUGUUCUUAAUUCUGCAGAAAUUGUUGAUGAUGUUGAAAGUAGCUAGCACUAACAUGGAAGACAUCUUUGAGGAUUACAGAAAUUGAUUGUUUCAAUAUUAGGAUUAGGACUAGGAUUAUUGUGUUCUUACUUAUUUUGGAUUGUUUGAUUUUAAAUGGAUUAUGGUGUUUUUAUUUAUCUUGGAUUGUUUGGUUUUAAAUGGAUUAUGGUGUAUUUUUUGUUCUUGAAUGAUUGGUGAAACUUUAGACAAUUCAUAUGAUUUUUAUUUUAAUGUUUAAUUAGCUUAGAAUUUAUUUUAGAAAAGAAAAUAAUAUGGAUCCGGGUCUGGACCCGAGACCCUGUGGAUCUUAUGGAUCUGGGCCUGGAUCCCAUUUUUUUGGAUCCAAUGGAUCUGGACCGGAUCUGGACCUAAGUAAAAAAAUAUGGAUCUGGAUCUGGACCAAGCAGGAUCCGGUCCAGAUCCGGCCCAUUGCCAU
rnacentral:lncRNA from 1 species